UACAGAGGGUGCGAGCGUUGUUCGGAAUUAUUGGGCGUAAAGGGUGCGUAGGCGGUUUGGUAAGUCUGAUGUGAAAUCUAUGGGCCUACAACUCAUAGUCUGCAUCGGAAACUGCCGGGCUUGAGUGUGGGAGAGGUGAGUGGAAUUCCUGGUGUAGCGGUGAAAUGCGUAGAUAUCAGGAGGAACACCUGUGGCGAAAGCGGCUCACUGGGCCAUAACUGACGCUGAUGCACGAAAGCUAGGGGAGCAAACAGG
rnacentral:rRNA from 1 species